GGGGGGGGGCGAUUUCAAAUGACUACCGCAUUAAUUGCAUCAUAAUUUUUGAAAAUAUUAAAGGUAAAUAACUGUUGUUACUGUUCAUGUAAGCUGGCAGCAAAAAAAUUUCAUAUUUUAGUCAAAAUGUUAGAUGACAUUGUAAAUUAUACUGUAUGUAUGAAUUCAGGGUUUGAUUCUAAUAGAAUUAAAAUAGGGUUAAAUAAAUACCUUCAUAAAUUUCAUGGCAACAAGUUUGAAACCUUUCUGUUCAAAUCGUUUUAUUAUGUCAGCAAUUAAUCCACGAUUAACACCGUCUGGUUUGACCAUGAUGAAAGAUCUUUCAGAACUCAUGAUUUUAGUGUAAGUUCAGGAUCUGAAAUUUACAAAUACAGUUCAAAUAUUUAGACCACGUUGUCUUCGGCGAAGGAAAAAAGCUUGAAAGGAAAAUCAGGAAGCU